AAAGGCUGGUGCUGUUUAGUUUCACUGUCUUCCUGCAGCAGGGUCCAGAGGUGAAUCUCUGCUUUAAGUGGUCAGAGAAGAUGAGCGAGAAGAGUUGGUGUAUCUGUACCCUGCCUCUGACAUCAACCACAUAUAGAGCCUGGAGGUAGUGGAGCAUUCACCGGACCUGACCUCAACUGGACAGAAGAAUGUGGUGGGCUGCUGGUGGUCAACACCGUUUUUCGCUUCCCUCACCCUUCCAGCCUAAUUCAGUGAGGACCAGAGUCUCUGCCCCGCCCGGACUUGGAGUCUUUAAGGCUGGCUCUGAAGCCAAAUACUGAAAUGAUUUUAGAACUCCGAGAUGAGGUCGGGUGAUGGAGAAAGGCCAUGCGUUGAGAAGGUGUACAGGAAAACUGAAAUCCCAUCCAGUAAGUCUGUGUUCUGUGAAUCCAUGUUCUGUUUUCGAUGCUUGGGUGACAGGAGCCAGUCCUAUUACACCUUAACAGAGGUAGUGCCUGCUCCUAAGAUGAAGGCUGAAUGGGACUAAGGGUGGAUAAAUACAUACAAAAUACUGUCAUAGAGUUAAGAAGCAAACAGAUCUACCAAGAAUCAGGGAAAUCACAACACAAAUAGUGGGAGACAAUCAAUCAAUGGUUGCUCCCAAUGAAAUAAAGCCAACAGUGAACUCUCUAAGACUGUAAGAUGUUAUCACAAGCACGCAUCAAGAGCGAUUAUAAAUCCUCUUGAACUUUUGAAAAAUACAUCUCAGUGUGAUGGUUUGUAUAUGCUCAGCCCAGGGAGUGGCACUAUUAGAAGGUGUGGCUUUGUUGGAGUGGGCGUGUCUCUGUGGGUGUGGGCUUUAACACCCUCAUCUUAGCUGCCUGGAAGCCAGUAUUCUGCUAGCAGCCUUCAGAUGAAGAUGUAGAACUCUCAGCUCCACCUGUACCAUGCCUGCCUGGAUGCUGCCAUGUUCCCACCUUGAUGAUAAUGGACUGAAGCUCUGAACCUGUAAGCCAGCCCCAAUUAAAUGUCCUUAUAAGAGUUACCUUGGUCAUGGUGUCUGUUCACAGCAGUAAAACCCUAACUAAGACAGUCAGUAAAAACUUAGAAGUUAUACAAUAAAAAGGAAUUCAAGGAAGUUAUCACAGUUCAAAACAAAGCAACUGGGAAGAAAAGGGAACCCAACUCCAGACUGGUUUCCUAUGGAGUGGAGCUAACUCGGCCU
rnacentral:lncRNA from 1 species